rnacentral:rRNA from 1 species
AUUGAACGCUGGCGGCAUGCCUUACACAUGCAAGUCGAACGGCAGCACGGGUGCUUGCACCUGGUGGCGAGUGGCGAACGGGUGAGCAAUACAUCGGAACGUACCUUAUCGUGGGGGAUAACGCAGCGAAAGCUGUGCUAAUACCGCAUACGCCCUGAGGGGGAAAGCGGGGGAUCGCAAGACCUCGCGCGAUUAGAGCGGCCGAUGCCUGAUUAGCUUGUUGGUGGGGUAAAAGCCCACCAAGGCGACGAUCAGUAGCUGGUCUGAGAGGACGAUCAGCCACUGUGGGGCUGAGACGCGGCCCAGACUCCUACGGGAGGCAGCAGUGGGGAAUUUUGGACAAUGGGGGCAACCCUGAUCCAGCAAUGCCGCGUGAGUGAAGAAGGCCUUCGGGUUGUAAAGCUCUUUUGUCAGGGAAGAAACACCGGCUCUAACACAGUCCGGGAAUGACGGUACCUGAAGAAUAAGCACCGGCUAACUACGUGCCAGCCGCCGCAGUAA